rnacentral:lncRNA from 10 species
GGGAAAUAUUCUGCAUACUUCUCAGAGGUCCUGGUGGAACUGAGCUCUUGUUGCUGACAAUAGUGACCUCACAGUGUGUCUGUUGAUGGACUUUUCCUCUUUCUCUGUUUUACUCUCCCUAUCUCCUUGCUCCUACUUCCUGGGAUCGCCUGCACUAAGUCCUUGUCUCGGGCUCUGCUUUGCGGGACACCAAAACACUCAUCACCACAGUCCGGGAAAUGUUUGAGGUGAACACAGAAUAGAAUUAAUUGUAGAACUUCUAAGCCGGCUUCUCUCCUGCUUGGGGAGAUGUCUUGAAGAAAACUACAGUGCAUAGAUGAACAGAAAAUGCUGUGCUAUUUAAGAGCUGUAACACUGAGACCAGGCAGUUUUACUGUGGGCAUCUUAAACAAGCGCAGCGCUGUGAGAAGAGGCAAACAUUCUUGAACUACAAGAAAGCACUGUGGAAUCGAUUGGCAGAGAACUGUAUCAGUGGCAGCUGACAUGGUUUGGGGGACAGGACCACCAGAACAUCUCUUCAAGAUCACCAUGACUUCAGCGGAGUGCCCCAAAACACCAGCUGGGCAGUUACUGCCAAUGGAGUGUUGACACCAGGGAAGUGAAUCUAGCCACAGGGGACAUCCUGGAAUUCCCUUCUCCCAGGAGGUACCCACAGAUAAACAAUGAGCUGAACUAAUUCCUGGGCAAAUAGAAGCAAGCCUAGAAUAUUUGAAGGAAUAAUUUUUGAAGAAUAUUUGAGAGAGAAGAAGAUGACUUUGUGCUAAUUUUGUACCUAGGGCAUCAGCCCUGUAAUUUAAGUUUUAGAAGAAACACAAACCUGUUUUAUCAUCACAGUUGGGUAAAGUCUGGAAUGUAUUUUACAACCACGUUAUUGACAAUUAUUCGGCUCAACAUUUCCGAAAAUUCAGUCAGUUGUCUAUCACCUACACUACAAUGUAUCAUUUGUACUAUUACUUACCUAAUACUUUCCUUUCAACCAGC